GAUGAACGCUGGCGGCGUGCUUAACACAUGCAAGUCGAACGGAAAGGCCGAAGCUUGCUUCGGUACUCGAGUGGCGAACGGGUGAGUAACACGUGGGUGAUCUGCCCUGUACUUCGGGAUAAGCUUGGGAAACUGGGUCUAAUACCGGAUAUGACGAUCUCUUGGAUGGGGUUGUGGAAAGCUUUUGCGGUAUGGGAUGAGCUCGCGGCCUAUCAGCUUGUUGGUGGGGUAAUGGCCUACCAAGGCGUCGACGGGUAGCCGGCCUGAGAGGGUGUACGGCCACAUUGGGACUGAGAUACGGCCCAGACUCCUACGGGAGGCAGCAGUGGGGAAUAUUGCACAAUGGGCGCAAGCCUGAUGCAGGGACGCCGCGUGGGGGAUGACGGCCUUAGGGUUGUAAACUCCUUUCGCAAUCGACGAAGCCUUUUGGUGACGGUAGGUUGAGAAGAAGCACCGGCUAACUACGUG
rnacentral:rRNA from 1 species